AGCAAAUUCCCUGUGACAUGAGCAAAUUUCAAAUAAAAGUAGAAUAAUGGAUGAAAAAUCUACAUACGUUAUAACAUGAGAGAAUAAUGAUACAAUAUUCAACCAUGUUGGCCGAUUAAUCAGCAAGUUUCUUUCUGCCAACUAAAAUUUCGGUGUAGCUACAAACCAAGUAUCAAGAGUGGAGGAGAGGAUGUUACUGGAAAAAUCCAAAUAUUCAUAUAACUGUGGCCAAAAUAAUAGAAAACACAGAACUCAUUCACACAUCAUUAUAUUUUUUUCAAAACACAAAAUUUAAAAGGAUUGUGGCUUUAGCAUAAUGGUGGAAUGCUUCAAAAUAUGCAUAUUGAAUUGGCCACCUAUCUCACUGAUGUCUAUCUUCGACUGCCCAGGAGGAGGCAACAGCUCGAAAUUCUGCACCACCAAAAGCACUCCUCCAGCCGUAGGUGCCACACCAUAAGCACUCCUCCAACCAUGGUGUUACUGCACUGAAUGCAUCUACUCUUCUGCUGGACAUAUUCUGCGCAAUUAAAAGAAGUGAAGUGAGCAAAAAAG
rnacentral:lncRNA from 1 species